CCCUUAGAUGUUCUGGGCCGCACGCGCGCUACACUGUUUGAUUCAGCGAGUCUUAACCUUGACCGAAAGGUUUGGGUAAUCUUCUAAAGUCAAACGUGAUGGGGAUCGACCAUUGCAAUUAUUGAUCGUGAACGAGGAAUUCCUAGUAAAUGCAAGUCAUCAGCUUGCGUUGAUUACGUCCCUGCCCUUUGUACACACCGCCCGUCGCUACUACCGAUUGAAUGGUUUAGUGAGAUCUCCGGAUUGGCUCUGUAGGUCCCGCAAGGGAUUUAUUAGUAGCCAAGAAGCUGCUCAAACUUGAUCAUUUAGAGGAAGUAAAAGUCGUAACA
rnacentral:rRNA from 1 species